AAUGGAAAAGCUUCUGCUUCUGCUACUACAAGUGGUCACAUAAACUUUACAUUGCCUCUUUUGAUGGACUGCUUUUGGAAAAUAUAAGUUGAUGAUGAGGAGUUUUAUGUCAUUUCAGUUACUUCUCAUGUAAACAGAGAUGCUAAAUAAAAAAUUUUAAAAUUUUAUAUAUUUUUGUUAUCUCAAGUAUUUUUUCAACUUGUUUUAUUUACAUUAACUCGCGGCUCCCUCUUUCGCUCGCUCGCUUCCCAUUUCUGAAUUUCUCAAUCACUUUCAGGUAUCUGAAGAAUCAGCAAAAUGGUUUCCUUUGAAAUGAAUGAUCGAAAAAAAAUUGGGCUCGGAUUAACGGGAUUUGGCAUAUUUUUCUCAUUUUUGGGAAUUAUCUUCUUUUUCGACAAGGGAUUGCUUGCCAUGGGAAAUAUCCUUUUCAUAUCAGGAGUGACCUUAACCAUUGGUCUGAAGUCCACCAUGCAAUUUUUUAUGAAACCUCAAAAUUUUAAGGGAACAAUUUCUUUUGGUGUUGGCUUCUUUUUCGUUGUUGUUGGAUGGCCCAUAUUUGGCAUGAUAUUGGAGACAUAUGGAUUCGUUGUACUCUUCAGUGGUUUUUGGCCAACACUGGCUGUGUUUCUGCAAAGGAUACCAAUUCUUGGUUGGCUAUUCCAGCAACCAUACGUCAGAUCGGUAUGUUCAAUUAUGAAGUCAAAUAUAGAACCCGCGUACAUGCAUGAUUAUAGAGCAUCGAACUGAAAAAUCAUAAAACCUAAAUCUGGUUUUCUGAUUGUGCGAAUUCCAAAUGAUAUCAUCUGAGAAGUAAACUGAAGAUCUCUUCAGACAGAUGUUUAGAAUGUCAAUUUGAUGGGCAUCGACUUUGAAAUUAUUGGAUCGGUAUAGGGGCAGGAGGGUGCCUGUAUAACCACGCCAUAUAUCAGAGAGUUGGAAAUAGUGAUGAGCCAAUUGACUCUGUAAGUCAUGUGGAAUUGAAUGGGGGUUCUUAUGAACAAAUAGGCACAAGUCAAAGCGAUGGAAUGAAUGGUGUGAAUUAUAUAAAAAAAAAGUCUAUGCAAAGUGGUGAAACAUGCUUUCAUGAAAUGAUGUCAUGUAGUACUACGCCAAAUCUGAUAAUCAAUUUUUUGAUUCUUGAAGAAUCAUGUUUGUGUACAUGAAAAAUGAUGAAUGAAAUGAAGGUGAAAACUGGGGAGUCAAUGGGGAAAAA